GGAGCGGAGCGCAGCGGGGCCAAAGCCUCCCGUCAAGCCGCAUCCCGAAAUCCCUCCCAGUGGCAUCCAGCAGAGCCCGGUGGCAUCCCGAAAUCUGUCCCCCCCGCCCCACCCCAACCCCGGUGCUCGGCGCCGGGGCUGCCGGUACUCACGGGCUGCGGCGGGCGCGCGGCGGGCGGUGCAUCGGCGAGGCCGGAGGAAGAGCGCUGUGGUUUGCUGGUGUCACUUCUACGGGGGAUGAAGGGCUGGGGGAUGAGUCAUCCCCCACUCAGGGAAGUGGCGUGCGAGUGUGAGUGUGAGUGUGUGUGUGUGUGUGUGUGUGUGCGUGCGAGUGUGCGCGAUUGACUCUUUCGUUACCGGAACGCCUGGGCUUUUCGGGGCUCUCGGCGCGGGGAGCCCGCUGCCUCGCUGGAUGAGUGUGCAGGGAUUUCCAGCCCGGUUCCCCCCCCUCCGGCUCCGCUCCCGGCGCCCCGCGGGGCCGGGCAGCGGGGCUCAGCCUGACCCUUCCGCACCGCUCGCUUGGCUAAAUCUCCUUUUCUCGGCGCUUUUUUAAUUGCUUUAACAAAUUCUGUUUUGUUUCGCUUGGGACCGCUGGAGCAUCCCGACGGGACGGCGAGAAAACCGGCUCCGCGUCGCGGCGGAGAGGGACGAGAGCAUCCGCGCCGCGGUGGGGGGGCACCGGCGACGGUACCGGGUCCGAACCCCCGGCUGAGCUCGGAGAAUCCCCCUCCGCCGCGCGCCGGGGCUGCGAAAGAGCCCGAAAAAUCCCCGGAAAGCGCCCCGCGAGGCCUGACUCAGAGCGAAAGAGAAAUCCCGCCAGCACCGAGCCUCCUCCGGGGCCUCCCGGCCUGGGAAAACCUUCCGGAGACGGCGGCAUCGGGCAAUAUCCAUCCGUAUGGAAGCUCAGCCUCAGUUUCCCCCGGCACAAAUCACCCCGGCACCCCCCCCCCCCCAAUGCUCCUCCAACAAGGGGCCACAUCCAGCCCCCGCCAGCAGCCAGGACGGUUUUAUGCUUUUUCUUCUCGCCCGGACACUAUAAUAAACUCCCUUUCGUGGCCCGGGUGCCGCUAGAGGCCAGUGUCAGGCUGGAAAUCAAUCGCAUUCGAGGCCCCCGGGGAGCUGAGCGCCUGCGGGGCGGGAGCGAGCCCCUCGAGAAGACGGGUCCCCGCUUUGGACCCCGAGGGAUGGGAGAGUUUCACCCCAAAGUGGUUUUCUCCGUGUCUUCGCAGCGUCUUUUUCUUGCAGAUCCGCUCUAGGGAAUGUGAGUUAUUGAGCUCGAUGUGCUUUGGGUAGGCGGAGGCCAGGCUAAGUCUGGCUCUGUCAUCUGUGCGCUGAAAGCGGGCAGUGCUCAGCCAAGGUGUAAGAUAGGCAGAGCCUCAUGCCAGCGGUUUUAUCCCGCUCCUCCGAAAACCGGCUGGAGAAACGGGCCGUUUCCCACGGAGGAAAGACAGGCGCAUCCGCAGGCGAGGCGAGACCAGGGCCGGCCCAAAUUCCCCUGAACCCUGAAUCUGCUGGAGCCACUCGGAGCUGCAUCCAAGCCCGCUUUGAGCUCAGACUAUCCCGAGGCUCCUCCGGCCUCAGUUAUCCCGUGACCUGCGGGGUCUCCGGCUGCUCCAUCCCAGCACGUGGGUCAGCAGCAAGCAGCCUCCUUAUUUUUGGCGCUGAGGCUGAGCUGCAGCCAGGAUCUACCGAGGAGGAGAGAAAAGGGGGGAAAAAAAAAAAAGAAAAGCAAAAAGAAAGCCGGGUGGUCGGAAAGCCCCGGGAUGCGCACGAGCGCACGUGGCAGCGCCGGGCCGGCUCGCGAAUAUUCGAGGCCGCGCAGCUACAAAACGAUGAGCCGGCGAGAGGAUGCAGCCCGGCUCCCCGGCGGGUCCCUGCGCCCGAGCGGCGACCGGUCCUCGCCGCAUCCCCAGGACGUCACCUCCCUGCUGGGCGCAGGUCUGGUCCCGGCCAGUUUGGCUGAAUUUCUGCCCCAUGGUGAUUUUUUCCGCCUCGCUAUGGGGCCAGGAGCGAUGGCUGCAAGGCGCCGUCGAGCCAAGCAUCCCAGCGACACGACGGACGGAUGGACGGGAAAAGCACAGGGUCUUUUGCAAGGCGAUGGCAAGCGCAAAGCCCUACGCAGACGCCUCCCUCAAUACACCGCAUGGGUAAAAGCUGCCAGGUGCACCUGGGUUUCGCUAUAAAUAUGAUGCUUUAUUUUAAA